AUUGGUACUUACAGAAUGAAGAUGGCUGCUGGUCAACAAACAGCCAAACUGUGAAUCUAAACAGGACAGAAAGAGACAAGUGGCGCUGUUGAUCACUGUUUUGAAACACCUUUUGCAUCUUUAUUCAGGGACGUGUCUUGGGACGAUUCUGCUCCUCCACAUGAGAAGAAACUGAGGCAGUUUUGCAAGUCUUAGAAACUCUCCAAAAGCUUUCUUAUUGUCCACCUUCAUCCACCUCCUGCGUGAUUUGUUUUACCUUGCUCCAGAUUCCACAGGACAUUUCUCCAGAACACAAACAGAAAGCCUUACAGCUGACAUCAACACAAAAAUGCCAUUUGAGGUCCACAUUACUUGUGCAGUUUUAUCUUCAACUCUAACUCUCAUACUAGGUUCAUGGAUUUCUUUUCUGGUUGAUCUAGUUUUGAUAUCUUUAGUUAGUGUUCUCCUCAAUGCCACGUCUUCCAGCAGCACAAGUUUGGUCUUCAGUCCACUGUUUGGAGCGCUCAUCCUUAGGGUGGUGGGCCAACUUGCAGUAAUCUUUGCAUUAUUGGCUGCAGAAGUUGUGUUUAAUUUUAUUCCAAUAUUUGAAAUAAUAAAAAUCCCUGCAGAAGUCUUCUUUUCUUUUACAGCCACCUUUGUCGCUCUGAGUGUAUUUGAUUACCCUGCUUAAGGUAAAUGGAAGGUUUUGAAGAAAAAAAACAAAAAACAAAGUACUGAUUCUGGAGGACGUUUUAUGUUAAAAAA